UCCUGAUGUGAGGUUGUGGUCUUUUCACU
rnacentral:piRNA from 1 species